rnacentral:lncRNA from 1 species
AAGUGGCAGACCAGUCAUGAUCAGCCAGAAUCACAAGUAAAUUGUCACUCAUAUCUAUCCAAAGUGUUGUGUAAAGACAUGCAAGGAAGACAUGGUCCCGGAGUUUCAUCUAUGCAAGAAAAAAGACAUUUCCGAUUUAUUGAGAUUUCCCAUAAUUGACCUACACCACUAUAUAAACACAAGAGCAGACACAAAAUUAUUAAGCCACCACAGCUACACAACACAAGCAAUCUCUUAGUUUUGUUUAGAUCUCUUAUGUUUUAUAUUUGGUAAUAUAAGGGGGAAGAUCUCGCCUUUUGUAUUGCAUUAGAAGUUUCUUGAACCUUUUUCUAUUAAUCUUAUUGAAUAUGAGUUUAUCUGCUUUUGCUUUGGUUUUUAUAUCCAUGUGAAUAUGUGAUAGUAUAUAACUUGUUGGAACAAGGUAUUUUUAAGGAGGAUUACAUGGCUCGAUAAAUAAGUUAGGAGAUUAGAUUGGCGUUUUUGAUGAACAUAAUUUUUCAUCUUAUUCUUUUAUUUUAAUGCAUGUUACUUCUUUGAUAAUUUAUUAACUGAUUUUAGACCAUCAUUUCUUGCAUUCUACUUGACUAAUUAAUUGGAAAACUUAAUUGAGAUGGGCUUAAUGUAUGAGUUGUUAAGGAUAGUAUGAGUGGUGUAAAGGAGAAAGUCUGAGGAAAUCCGGUAUGUGCGAUAAAACAAGGGUUUGUCGGGGAAUAUAAGUUUUGUCAGAGAAAAUCAAGUAGUUCAGGUGAUUGCCGAGCUAAAUCCAAUUUUCACCGAUUUAAAUGAGUUUCACUCGAGUUAAAAUUAGUUUGUCCUUGAAUUUUGCUAAGUCUGAGUGGAAAUUUGGACAAAGUGUGUAUUUGGGGAGUUGAUCGGGAUUCAGACAAGUUUGGUCAAAAUCAGACAAGGUUGGUAAGCGGUUAUCGGAAAAUUUGAUACUCCAAGGAGAAAAGUUAAGCAAGAACAAUGAUGUUGUAGGAGUGCCAAGGAAAAAGUGUGUGAACGGUUCUCUGAUUUUAACCAAGUAGGUGUUUACGCGAGAACUAUUAAGCUCGAGAAAAAAUGACACACGUGAACAGUUUUAGUAAGGAAAACGGUUUCUGGGUUGUUUUCUUCGGGGAAAAUGAGGAGCGCCUAUUUAAGAAGGACUUCCAGCUCAUUUUUAUUUUUUGCAUGAGCAAGAAUUCUAAAAGAUUCAGACAGAAAUUUAGAAGAGAAAAUACCCCAGAGAAAUCAAUUGUAGCUGAGAGAAAUCUGAUUCUAGCCAAAGGAUUGAGAUUUUAUCUGAGCGUGUUAAGAAUCUAGCCGAGUGAUCAAGAGAACAUGUAUGGGCGAAUAGAGAAUCUGUUCUUACCGAAUCCGAGAAAAGUUAAGGUGAGUGUGUGACCUUGGCUAUUAGUUUGGGUUGUUUUCAUGCAUAUAUAUUUAGUUCUGAUUGCUUGCUUGUGAGCUUGUUUGCACCUGUUUGACUUAUCAUCGUUUAUAACCUGCUGGUUAUUGUGGUGACUGAUUAACCUUACCCGGCAAUCUAGAUCAUGCAUUGAGCUUGGGACUGAGAUGCUUGCUAAAGCAUGUUUGGUUGUGGAAGGAUCGAUUGGGUAAGCGUGCAUGCUUAUGCAUAGAUAGUUUUCUGUUGUGAUAAGCGUUAUCUUGACUAUGUGGUUGAUGUUUGUUUACAACUCUGUUCGGUGAGAUGGGAUGACCAUUCUUACUAAGCAAUUAUGUUGCUUAUACCUUCUUUUAUGGACGCAAGUGACAUGAAUGUCUGAUCAGCGUCCAUAGACUAAGACUGUGAAGGAAGAUAUGGUAGAAUGUUGGGUAGAAGCUCUAGUGUAGCAAUGUAUUAGCUUAUAUGCAAACUGAUUAUUGUACUAGAACCUCAUUUGUAAUACAAGUAUUUCUGUUUAAUUCACUUAUGUUCUGUAAAGACUUGUCUAUUUGAUCCAGUUCGCGAAAAUGUUAAGUCAAUCAAUAUAGAAAUUUAACUAAGUGUUGGCUAAAAAAUAAAUCUAAAUUAGAGUGCUACACUUAACUCCAUCGCUUGCUAAAGUGUAGUUAUAGAUUCUUCAGAGCAUAUCUGACCUGAUCUGAAAUAUUUCUUAUUUAUUCUUUCAAUUACAUGCAAGAGAUGAUUGAUUAGAUUGAUAGAUAGAGUUGAUCAUUGCCCCAAGAGUGGGCUAGUCAUAAAACAGUGUUUUGGAUUCUAGAACGAAUAGGUAUGGUUGCCACUAUGAACUUAACUUGAAUAAGUCCGUCCAUGAACCCCUAAAGAUUUCUUGAAUACCCAACUUUUUUAAUAUAUUGCCUUAAACCUUUUAAUUUAUUGAUUUUUUUUUUCGUGGAACAACCCUGAUCGACACACUUUAGAUUUUACAGAGGGAAAACUUUUGUCUUAGAUUCAUCUUUACUUUUGAGAGCUUUUGGGGAGACAAGUCUGAACUUUGUUCGUUUUGAGAGAAGAUUUCGAACCCCUGUUAUUUAUUCAGUGAUUUCUUAUUUGCAAUCUAUUCAUUCAUGUCUGUUGCUUCAAUAUUUAUGUCUGAGUAGUUAGCUUGUUAGGUUUAGGGUUCUCUAAAAGGAUUUCAUUGAAUGCUGGAUUGAUUUGCUAGUUAGGGUUCAUAAUCUGAUUAGUUCUUCACCAUAGGUUGAUCUUAAAGCUAAUUCUGCACUGAUCACUUAGAACUUAGAUCUUAGUUUAAUUGAUUGAUGCAAAAGUGUAAUUGAAUAAUCGUAGGGUGAGCAAAGUAGCUAUCCGCAAAGAAAUUUGGUUUAGAUACUUUGUCAACAUAUCGAACCUGCACUUAAGGCUAGUUUACAUCUUUAGGAUUUGCAAAGAAAUUUGGGAUUUUAGGAUUUAGACUUAGAUAAUUCUCGCAACGAAAUUUGGUUAAUUAUAAUUUCGUGAUUUGAGUUCAAGAACCGCGCUUAAUUUGAGUCCUGACUAAUUGAUUUAUCCACGUUCUCUGAUUUCCUGAGAAAUACCCUAGGCCUAAUCUUUGUCAAAUCGAGUUUUACGAACAUUUCUAUUGCGUUGCUGUUUUAAUUUCAUUAUUUCUGCUUACCGUAAUUCAAUUCUAAUAGGUUUAUUAAGCGAAUCUGUCGUCUCUGUGGUUCGAUCCCUACAUACUACAACUGCACAUCUGUGCUCUUGCAGAGUAGUUCUAGGAAUUAAACUUUGAGAAGAUCAUGCAGCUAGAUCAUUGUGUCCUAAAAUAAAACCCAACUCACGUCAUUAUACUAUACUAAUACUCUUCCUCAAAUGGGUACAUGUAGAUCUCAAAUGUCCCACUUACCAAGUAAAUAACCGAAUUUUUGUCACCCAAAUGCCUUAGUCAAAAUCUCAGCUAGUUAUUUAGUUGUCUUGACAUAAGAGGUAGCUACAAUACCGAUAGAUUCUAGCAACGUGAUCAUCCAUUUUUAUCUCACUGAGUAUAACAAUCAUAGUUCAAUACUCUAGUUCAACCCCGGCCCGAUAGAUACAAUAGGUUGUUUGUUAGUUGUCCAUGACACAAUCAUAUCACCAUAUUAUAAUAUAGUAAGUUAACGAUUGCCGACUUAAUGGGAAAAAGAUCCAGUCUAGGUGACAAUAAGAUGAAAGAGAAAGAUCAUUGAUAGAACUUAGCAUAAAACCUGGGCCAAGUGAGCUAUUCAAAUGCCGGAGUGUAACACCCGGUCCUGGGUUCCAAAGGAAAUCAGACUAAACCGGCAGUAUUAUCUAACCUAACCAAUAAUUUCUGAAUAAUUCUUUAAAUUUUAUUCCAAAUCAAACCAAAUCCAGUCUUACAAUAGAAAUGAAUAACUCGAAUAAAUCCGAAAAUAAGCAGAAAACAAUGUCUUAAAAAAACGAAAAAUAGUUCUUAAAGCAAUAAAAAUCUUUCUCCAUCUCUGAACGCACACCACACUAGAGCUACUCGUCUAGUUCCUCCUAGACAUCAUCACAAUCACAUUCAUCACACUCACCUGCAAUAUGAAUUUGAGAGAGAGGGAUGAGUAAUUUGGGAAAUUACUCAGUGAGAACCAAACCAGGCUCCCUUCCCACUAAUUUAUUUUCCACCAACAUGUCAAGAAUAAAUCCAACAAGCAACAAACAAGCAUCCUAGCGAUGCACAAACAACUAGCAAGCAAUUAUAAUGUCUCCAACCCGCCCAUCACACAAGGCCAUACCUCCCAGUCACACAGACUAGGACCACAUCUCCCAUGUCACACAGACAUAAUACCAGGCAGUCACACAGACAAGCCUCCAGUCAUAUAGACUCCGGAAGGAUCGGCGUACCUUCCCCCACCGUUGAACUACCACUUUAGUCACACAGACAACAAUAGCCCAGCAAACAAGUCCAUAACUCGGCACAUCAUCACCGAGAUGAACACCUGAUCUAACUACUCUACCAAUCACUAACCACACAACAGGGUGAACAAUCAAAUAUGCUGGCUCUUCCUCUAAUGAGAUCCUAAUUCAUUUCAUUAGACUCACACAUGUAUCUAGCUAGAUGCACAAGGAAACAUCCUAGGCUCAUCAGAUCUAGACUCCACACACCAGAAGAAGACAAAGGAAUAAGAAGAAGACCCUAGAUCUAAUCCUCACCUUGGCCUAAAAGCAGAUCUGACUUAAAGAGAACUGGUGGCAAAGGAAUCAAGGAGUUUUUGUGAAAGAGGAGGCUGACGACCACUCCUUCUCCUCUCAGACGGCGGCGGCGGCGGCUUCCCUUCUCUUCCUCGGUGGCGGCAAGCUUCCCUUCUUCUCUCUCUUUCUUUUUGCUUUGGUGGCUAGGGUUAAUAGAAUGAAAAUGAGGCUCCUCCUCAUUUAAUUCUUCACUGAAAUAUAAGGGAAAAUUAGGGUUUCUGGAGCGGGCCUGGUCUUGAUGGGCUUUUUCCAAUUGGGCUGGAAUUGGGAUGUUAAUUGAAAUGGAAAUCCUGCACCUUCCAACAAAAUUGGUACACUUUCAUGUACCCCAAUGGUCCUUACUUGUUCAUUCCCAGCAGUUUCCACUGCCUUAGACCUAGGAAUGAACCUCCCAGAAAAAGUCCAACACUUGAUCAACCUCGAGCUCACGAAGGUAUGAGUGGCACCAGUGUCGAACAAGGUAUAUGCAAUCGCGCUCCCUACUGAGACCGAUCCUACAUGAUUCAUACUUAUGUCUAGUUAUGCAUUUCCAUUCUACAUUCCUAUUCACAAGCAACAUAUAUAAUCACUCAAACAUUUACUUACCAGCGAUCGGUGCGGCUCCCUCAGGAUCUCCAAUGGUGAAGACACGAGGUCCAACAGCCUGCCUCUUAGCUGGUGGUGCUCCUGGUGCUGCUCCUCCUUCCUGCGGAACAAGCGGUGGAAUCUUGCAAUCUUUCUUGAAAUGACCUGAUCUGCCGCAGCGAUAACACUUGCCAACCCUUGCAGCGCUUGGGCUAUUCCUGCCUUGAUGACCCACUCCUCCAUAUCCGUAGCACUUAAUCACUCCACACGGUCCAGUGUGUCUCUUCCCACAACGCGGACACUCUAGAGCAUUCCCGUUGGCUCUCCCCACUGCCAUAUCAUCCCAGGUCUUCUUUGGUGCCUCCAGGGCACGGGGUGCUCGGCCUUGACCCUGCCUGGUCCUCCUCAGCUCAUCCAAAUUGGCUUCCUAAAUGGCAGCUGUCUCCACAAGUUCCACUAAUGUGGAGUACCUCCUGACAGAACAUCUGCUCCUCAACUCCAACUUCAAGCCUUCAUGAAUUGACGGACCAAGUCAGCCUGAGUGAAGUGCUUCCUGGAGAACCUCCUCAACCUGUUGAACUCCUUCUUGUACUCCCUCACAGUGAGGUUCUCCUGACGCAGGUCUUCAAAGGCACUCUCCAUCUGGUCCAAGGCUUCGGGUGGAAAAUACUCUUUACCAAACGCUUCCUUGAAAUCAUUGUACGUCAACUCAUACCGACCCUGAGUUGCUUCCAGCACACCAUCCACCAUCCCACCAUAUCAGCGCCUCCUCCUUUAGAUACUGCACGGCUAAGUCCUUCCGGUAACCAUCCGGACAUCUCAUGGCAUCAAAAUUCCUCUCCAACCUCUUCCUCUUGUUAUCUGCAGACACUGGGUCAGACCUCCCACCAAAAGCUUCCAUUCCCAUAUCAUUCAGGUGUUUCAUGGCCUGAUAAUAUGUCAGCCCAAAUAUAUUGACGCAGGAGGCGGAGGCACAUACUGCUGCUGAACAAACACUAGCAGCGGCACAUUCUGAGGUUGAACAAACACUGGCGGCACAACCACAGGCGGCGGCUCAUGCACUAGCGGCGGGGGCACAUUCUGCUGAUGCUCCUGCUGCUGCUGAGCAUUCACACCUACUCCCUGGUUCAAGUGACCAUACAUCUCCCGAUAGCGUUGCAGCUCCUCCAAGACUGCAGCAUGAGCUGCUUCUGCUGCGGCUGUAGGCACUUGAACAGGUACAUCUCUCAGGAUUUCCAGCCUGCUGGUUCACUGAAAUUCGGUUCACACUUCCUGUCGUAUCAGUGGUCUCCUCAUCCCCACUUGAACGACGAGCUUGGGAUCUGGUGCACACAUUUCUGGCUUUCGGAGGCAUCUACAUCGCACAACACGAGAAAACAGACAAUAACUAGAGAAGCUGAUCUAGGUAGAUGCCUCCUAAACCCUGCAAAUAAAUUAAACAAACAAUAACUAGAGAAGCUGAUCUAGGUAGUGGUUUUCUUUGUUUGAACCAUUUGAAAAAUCUUUGAACUUUGAAAACUCUUAAAAACCAUAUAUAUAUAUAUAUAUAUAUAUUUUUUAAAAUCCAAUUUUUUUUUAAUCCUGAAAAAUUCAAUUUUUUUUUGGAAAACUCGGAAAUAUUUGAAAACUUUUUUUUUAAAUAUAUUCAUUUUUUUUAGAAUCUAAUUCCCAAUUCCACUACUCUAGACUAGACUCUCUCUCUAUUUCUAACUCGAACCUAGGUUCUAAUACCAAUUGUAACAUCCCGUCCUGGGUUCAAAAAAAAACCAGACUAAACCGGCAGUAUUAUCUAAUCUAACCAAUAAUUCCUGAACAAUUCUUUAAAUCUUAUUCCAAAUCAAACCAAAUCCAGUCUUACAACAGAAAUGAAUAACUCGAAUAAAUCCGAAAAUAAGCAGAAAACAAUAUCUUAAAAGAAAAUACGAAAAAUAGUUUUUAAAGCAAUAAAAAUCUUCCUCCAUCUCUGAAGGCACACCACACUAGAGCUUGUCUAUUUCCUCUCAGACAUCAUCACAAUCACAUUCAUCACACUCACCUGCAAUAUGGAUUUGAGAGAGAAGGGUGAGUAAUUUGGGAAAUUACUCAGUGAGAACCAAACCAGGCUCCCUUUCCACUCAUUUAUUUUCCACCAACAUGUCAAGAAUAAAUCCAACAAGCAACACACAAGCAUCCUAGCGAUGCACAAACAACUAGCAAGCAAUUAUGAUGUCUCCAACCCGCCCUUCACACAAGGCCAUACCUCCCAGUCACACAGACUAGGACCACAUCUCCCAUAUCACACAGACAUAAUACCAGGCAGUCACACAGACAAGCCUCUAGUCAUAUAGACUCCAGAAGGAUCGACGUACCUUCCCCCACCGUUGAACUACCGCUUUAGUCACACAAACAGCAAUAGCCCAGCAAACAAGUCCAUAACUCGGCACAUCAUCACCGAGAUGAACACCUGAUCUAACUAUUUUACCAAUCACUAACCACACAAUAGGGUGAAAAAUCAAAUAUGUUGGCUCUUCCUCUAAUGAGAUCCUAAUUCAUUUCAUUAGACUCACACAUGGAUCUAACUAGAUGCACAAGAAAUCAUCCUAGGCUCAUUUGAUCUAGACUCCACACACCAGAAGAAGACAAAGGAAUAAGAAGAAGACCCUAGAUCUAAUCCUCACAUUGGCCUAAAAGCAGAUCUGACUUAAGGAGAACUGGU